rnacentral:antisense_RNA from 1 species
CUUCAGCGACCCCAGCCACAGCGGCUGCCCCGCGUCGCGUUCCCGGCCGUACGUGGCCAGCAGCGCCUGG